GGGUUGUGAGGUUAAGCGACUAAGCGUACACGGUGGAUGCCCUGGCAGUCAGAGGCGAUGAAGGGCGUGCUAAUCUGCGAUAAGCGCCGGUAAGGUGAUAUGAACCGUUAUAACCGGCGAUACCCGAAUGGGGAAACCCAGUGUGAUUCGUCACACUAUCAUUAACUGAAUCCAUAGGUUAAUGAGGCGAACCGGGGGAACUGAAACAUCUAAGUACCCCGAGGAAAAGAAAUCAACCGAGAUUCCCCCAGUAGCGGCGAGCGAACGGGGAGGAGCCCAGAGCCUGAAUCAGCAUGUGUGUUAGUGGAAGCGUCUGGAAAGGCGCGCGAUACAGGGUGACAGCCCCGUACACAAAAGCGCAUGUGCUGUGAGCUCGAUGAGUAGGGCGGGACACGUGGUAUCCUGUCUGAAUAUGGGGGGACCAUCCUCCAAGGCUAAAUACUCCUGACUGACCGAUAGUGAACCAGUACCGUGAGGGAAAGGCGAAAAGAACCCCGGCGAGGGGAGUGAAAAAGAACCUGAAACCGUGUACGUACAAGCAGUGGGAGCCCCACCACUAAGCCAGUGGUGAACUCCACAUCCGCAUCCUUUGCUGAGGAUACGGUUAACGGAGCGAAAGCGACGUUCAACCGCAAAACAAGCAGAGGGGGCUUAGUGGUGGGGUGACUGCGUACCUUUUGUAUAAUGGGUCAGCGACUUAUAUUCUGUAGCAAGGUUAACCGAAUAGGGGAGCCGGAGGGAAACCGAGUCUUAAUUGGGCGUUAAGUUGCAGGGUAUAGACCCGAAACCCGGUGAUCUAGCCAUGGGCAGGUUGAAGGUUGGGUAACACUAACUGGAGGACCGAACCGACUAAUGUUGAAAAAUUAGCGGAUGACCUGUGGCUGGGGGUAAAGGCCAAUCAAACCGGGAUAGCUGGUUC
rnacentral:rRNA from 1 species